rnacentral:rRNA from 1 species
GACGAACGCUGGCGGCGUGCUUAACACAUGCAAGUCGAACGCUGAAGCUCAGCUUUUGUUGGGUGGAUGAGUAGCGAACGGGUGAGUAACACGUGAGUAACCUGCCUCCUUCUUUGGGAUAACGCCCGGAAACGGGUGCUAAUACUGGAUAUUCACUGGUCUUCGCAUGGGGGUUGGUGGAAAGGGUUUUUCUGGUGGGGGAUGGGCUCGCGGCCUAUCAGCUUGUUGGUGGGGUGAUGGCCUACCAAGGCUUUGACGGGUAGCCGGCCUGAGAGGGUGACCGGUCACAUUGGGACUGAGAUACGGCCCAGACUCCUACGGGGGGCAGCAGUGGGGAAUAUUGCACAAUGGGCGCAAGCCUGAUGCAGCGACGCCGCGUGAGGGAUGGAGGCCUUCGGGUUGUGAACCUCUUUCGCUCAUGGUCAAGCCGCAACAAUGGUUGUGGUGAGGGUAGUGGGUAAAGAAGCGCCGGCUAACUACGUG